rnacentral:rRNA from 1 species
UACGAAGGGGCUAGCGUUGCUCGGAAUUACUGGGCGUAAAGCGCACGUAGGCGGCUCUUUAAGUCGGGGGUGAAAUCCUGGAGCUCAACUCCAGAACUGCCUCGAUACUGAAGAGCUUGAGUCCGGGAGAGGUGAGUGGAACUGCGAGUGUAAGAGGUGAAAUUCGUAGAUAUCGGGAGGAACACCAGUGGCGAAGGCGGC